GGCGAACGGGUGAGUAACACGUGGGUAAUCUGCCCUGCACUCUGGAAUAAGCCUGGGAAACUGGGUCUAAUACUGGAUAUGACCUUUCUCCUUAUGGGGUUUGGUGGAAAGUUUUUCGGUGUAGGAUGAGCCCGCGGCCUAUCAGCUUGUUGGUGGGGUGAUGGCCUACCAAGGCGACGACGGGUAGCCGGCCUGAGAGGGUGAUCGGCCACAUUGGGACUGAGAUACGGCCCAG
rnacentral:rRNA from 1 species